rnacentral:rRNA from 1 species
UACAGAGGGGCAAGCGUUGUUCGGAAUUACUGGGCGUAAAGGGCGCGUAGGCGGCCUGUUAAGUCGAACGUGAAAUCCCCGGGCUCAACCCGGGAACUGCGUCCGAUACUGGCAGGCUUGAAUUCGGGAGAGGGAUGCGGAAUUCCAGGUGUAGCGGUGAAAUGCGUAGAGAUCGGGAAGAACAUCAGUGGCGAAGGCGGCCUGCUGGGCUGUUGCUGACGCUGAGGCGCGACAGCGUGGGGAGCAAACAGGG